rnacentral:rRNA from 1 species
GAUGAACGCUGGCGGCGUGCCUAAUACAUGCAAGUCGAGCGAACGGACGAGGAGCUUGCUUCUCUGGGGUUAGCGGCGGACGGGUGAGUAACACGUGGAUAACCUACCUAUGAGACUGGGAUAACUUCGGGAAACCGGAGCUAAUACCGGAUAAUAUUUUUAACCGCAUGGUUCAAGAGUGAAAGACGGUCUUGCUGUCACUUAUAAAUGGCUCGCCGCGUAAUUAGUAAUUUGUUAAGGUAACGGCUUACAAGGCGAACGAUGAUUAGCCGCCCUGGGAGGGUGAUCGCCACAAUUGGACCGGAGCACCGCCCCAGCCUCCUCCGGGAGGCACCAGUGGGGAACCUUCGGCGUUGGGCGAAAGCCUGCCGGAGCAACGCGGCGUGAGUGAUGAAGUUCUUCGGAUCGUAAACCUCUUUUAUUAGGGAAGACCAUAUGUGUAAGUAACUGUUCACCUCUUGACGGUACCUACUCAGAAAGCCACGGCUAACUACGUG